rnacentral:tRNA from 1 species
CCUGAUGGUGCAAAUGGUAAAGUAUUUGACUGCUAACCAAAAGGUUGGUGGUUCAAAUCCACCCAAAGGUG